rnacentral:rRNA from 1 species
CGCUGGCGGCGUGCCUAAUACAUGCAAGUAGAACGCUGAAGAGAGGAGCUUGCUCUUCUUGGAAGAGUUGCGAACGGGUGAGUAACGCGUAGGUAACCUGCCUUGUAGCGGGGGAUAACUAUUGGAAACGAUAGCUAAUACCGCAUAACAAUGGGUGACCCAUGUCAUUCAUUUGAAAGGGGCAACUGCUCCACUACAAGAUGGACCUGCGUUGUAUUAGCUAGUAGGUGAGGUAACGGCUCACCUAGGCGACGAUACAUAGCCGACCUGAGAGGGUGAUCGGCCACACUGGGACUGAGACACGGCCCAGACUCCUACGGGAGGCAGCAGUAGGGAAUCUUCGGCAAUGGGGGCAACCCUGACCGAGCAACGCCGCGUGAGUGAAGAAGGUUUUCGGAUCGUAAAGCUCUGUUGUAAGUCGAGAACGAGUGUGAGAGUGGAAAGUUCACACUGUGACGGUAGCUUACCAGAAAGGGACGGCUAACUACGUGCCAGCAGCCGCGGUAAUACGUAGGUCCCGAGCGUUGUCCGGGUUUAUUGGGCGUAAAGCGAGCGCAGGCGGUUUGAUAAGUCUGAAGUUAAAGGCUGUGGCUCAACCAUAGUUCGCUUUGGAAACUGUCAAACUUGAGUGCAGAAGGGGAGAGUGGAAUUCCAUGUGUAGCGGUGAAAUGCGUAGAUAUAUGGAGGAACACCAGUGGCGAAAGCGGCUCUCUGGUCUGUAACUGACGCUGAGGCUCGAAAGCGUGGGGAGCGAACAGGAUUAGAUACCCUGGUAGUCCACGCCGUAAACGAUGAGUGCUAGGUGUUGGGUCCUUUC